CAUAAAUGGUUUAAGUAAGGCUAGAAUGGUUCUACUUGAAGUGCUUAAUGAAAAGAGCUCAACAAAAGAUGCACCAUUCAUUAAAAAGGGUUUAAAUAUUGUUGGUUAGCUAAGAGAAUGUGGUUUGAUAAUAUUGAUGGACAUUGAUAAAGUUUCUAAGAGCUCAAAUUAAUUGGAAAAUGGACCAUCAUUUAUAGUAGUGUGGGAAGAUGCAUUGGCCUAUUUCCUAAUUGCUACUGUCCAUCGGAGCAUAAUAAUAAAAAAUAUUUUAUGUGUGAGUCUAAGUGUGUAUUGUGUUUAGCUUAAAGAUAGCUUUAACCUGUUUAAAGAGUUUUUUCUGAUAUGUGUUCA